rnacentral:rRNA from 1 species
GAUGAACGCUGGCGGCGUGCCUAAUACAUGCAAGUCGAGCGAACAGACGAGGAGCUUGCUCCUCUGACGUUAGCGGCGGACGGGUGAGUAACACGUGGAUAACCUACCUAUAAGACUGGGAUAACUUCGGGAAACCGGAGCUAAUACCGGAUAUUAUAUUGAACCGCAUGGUUCAAUAGUGAAAGACGGUUUUGCUGUCACUUAUAGAUGGAUCCGCGCCGCAUUAGCUAGUUGGUAAGGUAACGGCUUACCAAGGCAACGAUGCGUAGCCGACCUGAGAGGGUGAUCGGCCACACUGGAACUGAGACACGGUCCAGACUCCUACGGGAGGCAGCAGUAGGGAAUCUUCCGCAAUGGGCGAAAGCCUGACGGAGCGACGCCGCGUGAGUGAUGAAGGUCUUCGGAUCGUAAAACUCUGUUAUUAGGGAAGAACAAAUGUGUAAGUAACUAUGCACGUCUUGACGGUACCUAAUCAGAAAGCCACGGCUAACUACGUG